rnacentral:tRNA from 1 species
GAGCCUGUAGCUCAGCUUGGUUUAGAGCACUGCUCUUAUAAGGCAGGGGUCCACGGUUCAAAUCCGUGCAGGCUCA